AUUGAACGCUGGCGGCAUGCUUUACACAUGCAAGUCGAACGGUAACAGGUUAAGCUGACGAGUGGCGAACGGGUGAGUAAUGCAUCGGAACGUGCCCGGUCGUGGGGGAUAACGCAGCGAAAGCUGCGCUAAUACCGCAUACGAUCUAAGGAUGAGAGCGGGGACCGUAAGGCCUCGCGCGAUCGGAGCGGCCGGUGUCAGAUUAGGUAGUUGGUGGGGUAAAGGCUCACCAAGCCAACGAUCUGUAGCUGGUCUGAGAGGACGACCAGCCACACUGGGACUGGGACACGGCCCAGACUCCUACGGGAGGCAGCGGUGGGGAAUUUUGGACAAUGGGCGAAAGCCUGAUCCAGCAAUGCCGCGUGCAGGAAGAAGGCCUUCGGGUUGUAAACUGCUUUUGUACGGAGCGAAAAGGUCUCCUCUAAUACAGGGGGCUCAUGACGGUACCGUAAGAAUAAGCACCGGCUAACUACGUGCCAGCAGCCGCGGUAA
rnacentral:rRNA from 1 species